AUUGAACGCUGGCGGCAGGCUUAACACAUGCAAGUCGAGCGGUAGCACAGAGAGCUUGCUCUCGGGUGACGAGCGGCGGACGGGUGAGUAAUGUCUGGGAAACUGCCUGAUGGAGGGGGAUAACUACUGGAAACGGUAGCUAAUACCGCAUAAUGUCGCAAGACCAAAGUGGGGGACCUUCGGGCCUCAUGCCAUCAGAUGUGCCCAGAUGGGAUUAGCUAGUAGGUGGGGUAACGGCUCACCUAGGCGACGAUCCCUAGCUGGUCUGAGAGGAUGACCAGCCACACUGGAACUGAGACACGGUCCAGACUCCUACGGGAGGCAGCAGUGGGGAAUAUUGCACAAUGGGCGCAAGCCUGAUGCAGCCAUGCCGCGUGUGUGAAGAAGGCCUUCGGGUUGUAAAGCACUUUCAGCGGGGAGGAAGGCGGUGAGGUUAAUAACCUUGUCGAUUGACGUUACCCGCAGAAGAAGCACCGGCUAACUCCGUGCCAGCAGCCGCGGUAAUACGGAGGGUGCAAGCGUUAAUCGGAAUUACUGGGCGUAAAGCGCACGCAGGCGGUCUGUCAAGUCGGAUGU
rnacentral:rRNA from 1 species